rnacentral:rRNA from 1 species
CCCUUAGACGUUCUGGGCCGCACGCGCGCUACACUGACGAAGGCAACGAGCUUUCCUUUACCGAAAGGUACGGGUAAUCUUUUGAAACUUCGUCGUGCUGGGGAUAGAUCCUUGCAAUUUUUGAUCUUAAACGAGGAAUGCCUAGUAAGCGCAAGUCAUCAACUUGCUUUGAUUACGUCCCUGCCCUUUGUACACACCGCCCGUCGCUACUACCGAUUGAAUGGUUUAGUGAGGCCUUCGGAUCCGCGACUCGUUUGUGGAGAAGUUGGACAAACUCAGUCAUUUAGAGGAAGUAAAAGUCGUAACA